rnacentral:rRNA from 1 species
UACGGAGGGUGCAAGCGUUAUCCGGAUUCACUGGGGUUAAAGGGUGCGUAGGUGGGUCUGUAAGUCAGUGGUGAAAUCUCCGUGCUUAACAUGGAAACUGCCAUUGAUACUAUAGGUCUUGAAUUUUCUGGAGGUAAGCGGAAUAUGUCAUGUAGCGGUGAAAUGCUUAGAUAUGACAUAGAACACCAAUUGCGAAGGCAGCUUGCUACAGGGAUAUUGACACUGAGGCACGAAAGCGUGGGGAUCAAACAGG